rnacentral:snoRNA from 1 species
UCCAGCAGUAGGCACCUGCCUAGGUUACCUUGUAAUUAGGCAAGUGUUACACUGCUGGGAGAAAAGCAGCCAGUAGCUGGCAGGCAUUGUAGGCCUGGUUAAUGCCAAAUUU